UACGGAGGGUGCAAGCGUUAUCCGGAUUCACUGGGUUUAAAGGGAGCGCAGGCGGGCUGGUAAGUCAGUGGUGAAAGCCUUGAGCUUAACUCGAGAACUGCCAUUGAUACUAUCAGUCUUGAAUAUUGUUGAGGUUUGCGGAAUGGGUCAUGUAGCGGUGAAAUGCAUAGAUAUGACCCGGAACACCUAUUGCGAAGGCAGCAGGCUAAACAAAGAUUGACACUGAUGCACGAAAGCGUGGGGAUCAAACAGG
rnacentral:rRNA from 1 species